GGGUGAUUCUUCUGGACUAAUUCAUGUGGCUGCAAUUGGAGCUGGAUGAUCUAAAUGGUCUCACUCCUAGGUCUGGCUGUUGAUGUUGGCUGUUGGCUGAGCCAGGGGCCGCCAGCAGGCUAGCAUGGGCUCUUCACUCAGCAACAGGGUUCCAAGAGGACAAGCCCAACACACAUGUGCUUUUCAAGCCUGGGAUUAUCAGGGCUGUACUGCAACAUCUGCUGCAAUCAGCAACAACCACAUAAGAAAGCAAUGACAAGUUAUGAUUACUGCUCUGAAGAGAGUGAGCAGGAUGCUGUGAGAGAGGGUUACUAUUCCAAGUGGCACCUGGGCCAGCAGCAUUGGCAUCACCUGGGACUUGUGAGAAAUCCAGCAUCUCAGGCUCUACUGCAGGUCUCCUAAAUCAGAAUCUACAGUUUAACAAGAUCCCCAGGAGAUGUGUGUGUAAAGUUUACAGAGAGAAGAUUCAAGUCUCAACAGGCCAGGUCAAGAACCUGUUGAGAGGAGCACCUAGCAUAAGACCUGGCUUGUGACAGCUGCUCCUGGCAUGCCCUUCUCCACUAAGCCAACUUGUUAAACCUCUUCACGGCUGAGAUCAUGCUACUUUCUUCUUCAGAUCUGCCACCCUGUAGCUGGGUGACUUUUAGACAAGUGAUCUGACCUCUCUGAGCCAGAGUUUCUACCUUGUAAAAAAAAAAAUCCCUUCCUGCAUGGUCAGCUGUCAUGAAAAGGACACAUGGUGAUGGGCAGACCAAGACAAGGCUUAGCUUCAUGUUUGACUCCUAGGAGCACCCAGUUCAUAGACGCUGCUGCUGUUACUAAUCUGUUUCCAUCUUCCCCUGGGAAUCCUGAGGUUUAUCUGUGAGUCUUUGGACUGCUGUAUGGACAACAUACUCUGCAGUAGCAUGAAGAAGUGAGUGAAGACCCUCCCUUGAACCAUGUGCACUGAAAGAACAGAAGUCACAUCUUGAUAUCUCAGUGCCUUUACAGUGCCAGGGAUGGGGUACAUGCUGAGCGCCUGGUAUGUGCUCACCCUAUGCUGUACAAAACACAGAAAGCCCCACAGGGUUUGAACUGUAAUUAGGUAGAGGGUGUGUGGGACUCCCCUUGGGUCUCU
rnacentral:lncRNA from 1 species